rfam:Christensenella minuta strain DSM 22607 genomic scaffold Scaffold64, whole genome shotgun sequence.
GUUCGAUUUCGGUAGGCGAGGUUACCGCAGGGAUACGGAUUGCUGCCGCAAAAUAGUGGAGACACUAUGAGAGGGUCAGCAGUUUAUGUCGAAACCAAGGCAUAGACUAAUGCAAUUUCAUUGCCCUGCGAUGCUGAAGCUUGAACGGUAGCGCGUUUUU